GUGUGUGUGUGUGUGUGUGUGUGUGUGUGUACAGCCUUGAGGCCAAUAUUCUACUUUUUACUCUGCUACCUUUAUACAACACUCAUAGUUACUAGGUAUUUUUACAUUUAAAAGUACCUGCUUUGAAGUGUAUGUAAGUCACUUCAAUCACAAUAGAUAAAACAGUCAGCUAAAUAACAUGUUAGGUAAUUAUGAAGCAGAAUACAAAUAUUGAAUCAUAAAUCUUCAACAAGGAAAAGACUUAACAUGGACAGCAGUGUAAAAGUAGAGCAUGGCUUCGUCCUGAUAUCAGUUAGUACACAGUAAGACACGGAUAUAAACACUACACGCUCUCCUCCUCAGGCGCUGGUCAGCUGUUUGGAGCUGCUGGAAGACGAGCAGUCGGACACCAGAGUGUGUGGAUGCAAGGCUCUAGCAUGUCUCAAGGCCAAAGAGAGUAUAGACCAGUUAGUGUAUCUCUGUCGGACGGACAAGGACGAUGUCCGAGACGCUGCCAAACAAGCGCUGCUGGUGCUCGGCGAGGAGGGGAAGAUGGCCCACAGACACGUGGAGACGUCUCAGGACAGCAUCCCCAGACUCUUUGCUCCAGGAAGCAUGGCCAGCACUGCUUUCUAACACUUCACACACACACACACACACUGGGUGGGGGAGAAAACUGAAAUAACACAAAAAGCCUCAAUGAGAAUAUAAAGUAGUUUUUUUUAUUUUCCAAUACUACCACUAAAAAUCAGAGAGGUAACUAUGGUAUCAAGGAUAGCCACUCUAUUUAACACUGGCAAACAUGUAAAGUUAUUAAGCUACAAACACACCAGUUUAUGUUCAUCAACCUGUGCUAACUACCAAGAGAGUGUGAGGAAGGAUGUAAAAUGUGAGCAGGCUUGAAUGGAAAGACAGAUGAAGGGAUGAGAAGGAUGAAAUGGAUACUGAAGGAAGGAAAUGUAAAGCAGAUUCAUAUCCAAAUCAAAUAACUGGAUAUUGAUCCAUCAUGGCACAGACACAAAAACAUUAUUUUGUAAGUGGAUUAGGAAAAGUGUAAAGAUCUAUUUUAAGUCAAUUCAGAUAAUUCACAUUUUCACAGCCUACUAAGCGCCCAAAAUGUUGAGUGUCUUGUACUCCGACUCUCUGUGAUUUUGACUUGUACUAGGCAUACAUAGAGUAAAUCUACAGUAUUAACUGUUCUUAGUGGAUACUGCUGUCUCUUGUUAGGGCCUGAGCAUGAGAGUGCUGGGACCCCAACGGUGUCCCUAGCACGAAGUGCGUGGAAACCUAUUGUUUUCCUGAAGAUUCUUAUUUUAGGUGUUUUUGGAAAAUGUUACCCCAGUUGCAGCAUAUUUUCAUAUAACUCUGCCUUUCCUAUAGCCAUGGCUCUACUAGCUUGUUGAUUUCAAGACUGAGACCUAAGUAAUGCAGCUGUACUGCAACACUGCAAUGCACCUGAGAAUGAAUGAGCUCAAACUUCCCACACUGCACUGAUGCAUAGAUCUGGGCUGCACAAUUAUUCAAAUUUCAAAUCACAAAAGAGCCGGCCAGCUAACCAAUCAGAGCAGACUGGGCUCUGGUUUCAGACAGAGGUUGAAAAGAGGUGCUG